UCCGCGGUAGCCAAGCGGCCAACGGCGGCGGGCUUAAGACCCGCUGAACAGCUCUUCGAGGGUUCGAAUCCCUCCCGCGGAA
rnacentral:tRNA from 5 species